rnacentral:lncRNA from 1 species
GGUUCCUCUUGUGUUCUAACCCCUAGAGAUUAGCUUCAGGAUUGGUUCUAUACAGAGCAUGUAGAUGUAUAUGUCUGUGUGUAAUUUAAUCCAGCCAUCACUGAGUCUCUGAAAGCUGUUUCUUUUAGUUGUCACCUUUUCUCUUUUUCUUGAUGCUUCUUUCUCAGCCCUUGUAUAGGAUUCAGAUUUGGUGACCUGGUGGCUGCUAUAACUGAUUAGUGUAUUUUUUGCCUCUCUCCUUGCCUUUUAGUUUUCCCUACUAAUUUGCUUGUUUUAUAGCAAGUAUAUUCUUUUCAGAGUUUAAGUUUUCAAAUUAAUAAAUGCUGAAAACAAAACCGGUUUAUUAGGUAUUUUAGAAUUCCCCCCCUCCAAAUGUAAUUCUAAUGCAAUAUCAGAGGCAUGAAUUGAUAUUUUAGAUUUUUAGAGAUAAAUUGAAUUUUUAAAGUUUUUGGUUGCUUAAUCUAAAUAUUAGAAAUGUAAAAUAUGCUAUUACUCUUAAAUUUAAGGGUUUCCUUCUUUUGAAAAAGGUAAAUUUGGUAUGUAUUUUAUGGGUGACACUUGGGGCAAUAUGGAUCCAGAGUUAUAAAAUGACAAGCUAUCGUCUAGGAAUUUAUCUUAAAGAAACAGUCAUAUGUACCAGAUUGCUCAUUGCCCUGUUUUUUGCAACAGCAAAACAUGGAAAGUAACCUAAACCCCUAUUAAUAAAGGAUUGAUUAAGUCAUUAGGGCCUAUCCAUAUAGUGAAAUACUGUGCAAUCUUUAAACAGGAUGAAUAUGCUUAAUGUAUGAUUUUUUUUUUUUUUUUUUUUUUUUUUUUGCUUUUCAGGGACACACCUUUGGCAUAUGGAAGUUCCCAGGCUAGGGUGUUGAAUCAGAGCUGCAGCUGCCAGCCUACGCCACUAGCCACAGCAAUGCAGGAUCUGAGCCUCAUAUUCGACCUACAGCACAGCUCACAGCAAUGCCAGAUCCUUAACCCACUGAGCAAGGCCAGGAAUCAAACCUGCAUCCUCAUGUAUGCUAGUCGGGUUCAUAACCCACUGAGCCACAAUGGGAGCUCCCUAAUUUUCUUUAAUAUGGACAAAAGCUCUGUAUAUAGAAAUCUUAAAAGAAAGUAUGUAUGCCAAAUACUAAUAAGAGCUUAUUAUCUCUAGGUAAUAAUAUUGUGGGUGAUCUUUUUUCUCAAUUUUUUUUACCUAGGAUGUACUGCUUUUAUAAUCUCGGAAGAAUGAUGAAAUUAUUAAAGAAUAGACAUACUAAUUGAAAACCUCUCCUGUUUGUGCUAAAUAAAACUUCAUUCCCUGAGGUGACCAGUUCCUCUCAAUGGACUGUGUUGUAUUGAAUGAGAAGUGAAAUAUACUUUCUCAUAUGCCUUUAAAAAUCUUUUCUUAUUUAAUUAAUUAAUUAAUUAAUUGUCUCUUCUGGGGGCCACACCUGCAGCAUAUUGGAGGUUCCCAGGCUAGAGGUCUAAUUGGAGCUAUAGCCUCCAGCCCUCACCACAGCAACACCAGAUCUGAGUCGAGUCUGCAACCUACACCACACUCAUGGCAACGCUGGAUCCCUAACCCACUGAGCAAGGCCAGGGAUCGAACCCACAACCUCCUGGUUCCUAGUCGGAUUUGUUAACCACUGAGUCACAAGGGGAAAUCCUAAAAAUAUUUUCUAUAUUACUAAUAAGCAAGAAUAUUUUCUAGACUCUUAUAACAGGAAAGAAAAAAAUUAUAUAGAGGACCAAACAAAUAUCAGUUUUUAGAACAAACUCACUGAAAAAACACUCAGGCACAUAGACAUUUACAUUGCUAAAGAGAAUAAGUUGUGCCUCAUUUCUUACUAUGAAGGAUUUUUUCCCCCUGUUAAAAUUCUCAUUAAAAUAUGAGGAAUUCAUAUGUAUGGUAUGAGUAAAGGCUAGUGUUUAAAAGCAUGAGCUCCAAGACUUUCUGUGUUACUUUUGAGGAGUUAGACCUCAGUCUCUUCAUCUGUAAAAUGUGGGUAGUACUUUGCUAAGCUGUUGGGAGGAUUAAAUUAGAUAAGUGCUUACUUAGCAUGGUGCCAUAUACUUAGCAGUAACCAAGGAGAAAGAAAUGGUGGGAGGGGUAUGAGCAUAAUAAUAACAGUAAUGAUGGUGAUAAUAUUGGUGCUGAUAGUAAUACUAGUUAUUAUUUGCUCCCUUCUCAAUAGAGGUUUGCAUGAGGGCAGAGGCUUGUUUGCCACAGUUAUCAGCCAGUCCAGUUACCUUGACCAAGACAGAUAUGUGGUCUCCUUUUAGCCCAUUGUGCUCUCUUACCCUGGUAUCUAUAGGUACACUAUCCAAAAACAAGGGGGAAAGAAAGUGCUUAGGGUCUCACAGGCAUAGUUGGUGCUCUGUAAAUGUUGUUGAAUGAAUGGUGACCUAAAGCAAGCAUUUUCUAUAGACAGUGUGUGGUGAACUUUUAAAAGAGGGGUUUGAUCAUCUUUAAAGUAUAUGGAAGGGGAGUUCCCUGGUGGCUCAGCAAGUUAUGGAUCUAGCAUUUUCAUUGCUGUGGCACAAGUUCCAUCCCUGGCUUGGGAAUUUCCG